rnacentral:RNase_P_RNA from 4 species
UGAGCAAGCCGGGCAGUUGCGGGCGCAGGGUGAAAACCCGCGUCUGAGGAAAGUCCGAGCUUCAUAGGGCAAGGAUAACGGCUAACCGCCGCCGGGGGCGACCCCAGGGAAAGUGCAACAGAGAUAUACCGCCUGAUUUGGGGCGCAAGCCACAAUAUCAUGGUAAGGGUGGAAAGGCGAGGUAAGAGCUCACCGGCGCGGGGGAGACCCCGCGGCCCUGUAAACCCUAUCCGAAGCAACACCGUGGAGGAACAGGAGACUUUAGCGUCAGCUAAAUGUCUUCAGCGCGGCCCGCGCGUUCCGUGGAGGUGGCGCGAGCCCGUCGGCAACGGCGGGCCAAGAUAGAUGACUGCUCAAGACAGAACUCGGCUUACAGACUUGGUCACAUC